CCUACGGGUGGCAGCAGUGGGGAAUAUUGGGCAAUGGGCGAAAGCCUGACCCAGCAACGCCGCGUGAAGGAAGAAGGCUUUCGGGUUGUAAACUUCUUUUGACAGGGAAGAGCAGAAGACGGUACCUGUCGAAUAAUCCACGGCUAACUACGUGCCCGCAGCCGCGGUAAUACGUAGGUGGCAAGCGUUGUCCGGAUUUACUGGGUGUAAAGGGCGUGUGGGCGGGCUAACAAGGCAGAUGUGAACUCCGCGGGCUCAACCCACGAACUGCCUUUGACACUGUUUGUCUUGAGGUUCGGAGAGGCAGGCGGAAUUCCUAGAGUAGCGGUGAAAUGCGUAGAUAUGAGGAAGAACACCAGUGGCGAAGGCAGCCUGCGGGACGACAACUGACGGUGAGGCGCGAAAGCGUGGGGAGCAAACAGGAUUAGAUACCCGGGUAGUC
rnacentral:rRNA from 1 species